AGCCGGGCAGGCGCCUCCCCCACUGCGUGUCGCUCCUGCUCACAGGGUGGACGGGGCCAAGGCCACUGGUUUGGGUGCUGUUCGUUCCACCUCUGCUGGGAGGAUGGGGUGCCCGUCUUCUCAAAGUGCGGCUGUGGGGGUCCAGGUGCCCCCUGCCCAGGAGUCUCGGGAAGCCAGCACCCAGACUUGGGGUUGCCUCCCAGAGCUGCAGAACCCAGGAGGCUCAUGAGACGAGUGCGCAGGGUGGGCGCACAGGCCCGCAGACGAGGGGGCUCUCCCAGCCCUGCUGACGGCACCUGCUCGCCCCCAGGGGCGUCCUCGCUGCCGCCGGGAUGGGGACUUAAGAUGGGCACCAUCUUAUUUAUUUUCUUUCUUUCUUUUUUUUUUUAAAGAUUGAAACCUGGGCUAACAGCUGUUGCCAAUCUUCCUCUUUUUUUUUAAGGAUUGGUACCUGGGCUAACAACUGUUGCCAAUCUUUUUUUUUUUUUUUUUCUGCUUUAUCUCCCCAAACUCCUCCUGUACAUAGUUGUAUAUCUUAGUUGCCGGUCCAUCUUGUUGUGGGAUGUGGGACGCCGCCUCAACGCGGCCGGAUGAGCGGUGCCAUGUCCGGGCCCAGGAUCCGAACCCUGGGCCGCCGCAGCGGAGUGCGCAAACUUAACCACUCGGCCACGGAGCCGGCCCCUCUUUCUUUCUUUAUACUUUGUUCCACAAAGCACUCAAGGCAACAUUUGGCAAAGACCACGAGGACAGACAGAGGAGAUAAAAAUAUGUUCACUGGGCGUUCCCUUUUUAAAAUAAGAAGCAGUGGGGGUUGUUGCUAUUUUUACAUAGACCAGAAACUCUGCUGGAGGAGGCACAAGUGGUAUGAUUUUAAGUGUUGGAAAAAAUGGUCAGAAUCUCCUCCAGGCUGCAGCUUCAGAGAACCACCUGCUGAGCCCCGCACAUCUGUUAGGUGCUGCCCGCUGAGCCCCGCAUGUCCGUUGGGAGUCGCCCGCACGUCCAUUGGGUGCUGUCUGCUGAAUCCCUGCAUGUCCAUUGGGUGCUGGUGAGCCUGUGACCCAGACGGCAGGCCCCGGCUCAGCUGCAGGGCCUUGCCCCGGAUCCACCAGACGGCCACGGGUAACACCACCCCGAACGCCGUUCCCCGGGCAGCUCCACAGAGAAGAGCCGAGAACGGCCGUGUCCGAGGAUGUGACAGCGGUCGGUGUGUGUUCACGUGACACCGAGACCCUCCAGUCGGAGGAGAGCUGCUGGAGCAGGGGUUCACUCUGCACACACGGCCGUCAUUUCCACAGACGGUGGCCCACGAGCCUCCGGGGGGACAUCACUGCAGAAGAUGGUGGGCUCCUGGACGUCGGGACUUUAAAUAAAACUAAGUAAAAACAAAGGAUAUUUCACAUUAACCUUUAGGUGGCGGCUUUGAUGCUUUGUGUCCACUGACACCUCCUGUCAGCUCUUUGCGUCUGUGAGCCACACGCACACUCCCUGAGGGGACCCUCACCCUUGAAGACUCUCCAGGUGCUUCUGUUUCAGACGCUUCGCCCCAGAAAGUCGUCAUCUAGAAUUUUACAAAUUCAGUGUCGCUUCCUUGUCUUUCUAACGAGGCGUCUUUGCUGUUUAUCUUUUAACUAUGAUUAUGUAUUUACCCACAGCUGUUUACUCAGCGUUACCCUCCUUUGUGUACUAAACACCUCUAAAGUGGAUACCUUAGGAAGAAGUUACUGGGGCCACCCCCACGGCCUGGUGGUUGAGUUCGUUCGACGUGCUCCACUUCGGCAGCCUGUGUUCACUUCCCGGCACAGACCUACACUUCUCAUGGGCGGCUAUGCUGUGGCGGCAACCCAUGUACAAAACAGAGGAAGGCUGGCACAGCUGUUAACUCAGGGCAAAUCUUCCUCAGCAAAAAAAAAAAAGUUACUAAAUACAUUUUGUUGUAUUCUCUCUUUGGAAUUUUUACUAACAUUAUUCAGCUGGAAAUAAUUUCAUAAAAGGAAAUAAAAUACCUGCUCAUCACAGA
rnacentral:lncRNA from 1 species